CUGACGUUGAAAGGACGAAGGCUUGGGGCACCAACAGGAUUAGAUACCCUAGCAGUCCUAGCAGAAAAUUAUGAAUGUCAUAGGUUAGAUUAGAAUGUAGGUUAGAGUAUUCAAAUAUUCUAAAUCAAAACAAUUCCUGGUUAUUAUUUUAUAUGGCCAGACAAAAAUUUUUGUCUAUAAAUGAAAGUGUAAGCAUUCCACCUCAAGAGUAAUGUGGCAACGCAGAAACUGAAAUCAUUAGACCGUUUCUGAAACCAGUAGUGAAGUAUGUUGUUUAAAUUGAUGAUCCACAAAAAACCUUACCACAAUUUGUAUAUUAUUUAUAAUACAAGAGUUGCACGGCUGUCUUCAGUUAAUGUCGUGAGAUCUUGGUUAGUUCCAUUAAUUAACGUAAACCCUUACUUUAUUUUUAUUAUAAAGUAGUUCACCGCUAUAUUGGAUUAGAUAACAGGGAAUAAGACAAGUCAUCAUGACCUUAAUAUUGUGGGCUAUAGACGUUGCCACAUA
rnacentral:rRNA from 1 species